AACGAACGCUGGCGGCAUGCCUAACACAUGCAAGUCGAACGAGACCUUCGGGUCUAGUGGCGCACGGGUGCGUAACGCGUGGGAACCUGCCCUUAGGUUCGGAAUAACUCCCCGAAAGGGGUGCUAAUACCGGAUAAUGUCUUCGGACCAAAGAUUUAUCGCCUUUGGAUGGGCCCGCGUUGGAUUAGCUAGUUGGUAGGGUAAAAGCCUACCAAGGCGACGAUCCAUAGCUGGUCUGAGAGGAUGAUCAGCCACACUGGGACUGAGACACGGCCCAGACUCCUACGGGAAGCAGCAGUGGGGAAUAUUGGACAAUGGGCGAAAGCCUGAUCCAGCAAUGCCGCGUGAGUGAUGAAGGCCUUAGGGUUGUAAAGCUCCUUUACCCGGGAUGAUAAUGACAGUACCGGGAGAAUAAGCUCCGGCUAACUCCCUG
rnacentral:rRNA from 1 species